UACGUAGGGGGCAAGCGUUGUCCGGAAUCAUUGGGCGUAAAGAGCGUGUAGGCGGCUCGAUAAGUCCGCUGUGAAAGUCCAGGGCUCAACCCUGGGAUGCCGGUGGAUACUGUCGGGCUCGAGUCCGGAAGAGGAGUGUGGAAUUCCUGGUGUAGCGGUGAAAUGCGCAGAUAUCAGGAGGAACACCAAUGGCGAAGGCAGCACUCUGGGACGUGACUGACGCUGAGACGCGAAAGCGUGGGGAGCAAACAGG
rnacentral:rRNA from 1 species